GGAAAAUAGUUUAUAAAUGUAAUAUCAAAAAGUAAUAAUCUGAAGGAUUGAAUUAGAUAAUCCACUUUAAAAUUACAAGAACGUGAAAUAUGAGAUAGCGAGAAAGAUGGAAAGGAAAAACAAAACACCCCAAUCUCAGGGUUCACGUGGCUUAAGUUGUUGCUUCUUUAUUGAUUUUGCGCAUUGGUCAUAGGAUUGUUGCUUAUGUACUCAUAUGUAAACUCCCAUUCUUUCAUAUCAUUCAUAGCAAGAAAUAGAACAUUUCCCGAGAGUAGACUCUUUCGUUGAAACACUAGUAAAUUCCUACUCUUUCACAAUCUCCAAAGGAUCAAUUUGGAAAUUUUUUGGAUUUGUGGCUGAGCUUGAUUACUAAGAUUUCUUAGACAUCUUCCUUUGCAGCUAGUACUUCUCUAAUUUUUGUUUCGUUCCAGCUGUUUCCUGUGGCUUUCACCCAGUCUUUAACCAUAUAAUUUCCAACAGUUGGAUUACGAGGUCUUGGUAGUCUUGGUGGAUGUGAAGGCAACCAGGGAUCGGACCAAGUGUUGAUCAUCAAGCCGUCUCCAAGCAUCCGAAGGCGAGAGAAGGGUGGAAAUUAAGAUAUUAUAUUACGAGCACAUGUACGACAAGAAGGAUUCCAAUUCUGGCAAAGACAGUAUUGAUUUUCGUUAGAUCUUUUUUUGUAUCAGCACAUGUAUGGGAAGAAGGAAUCCAUCUUAGGCAAGACAAUAUCAAAUUUUCUAUCAAAUAUCAGAUAUACUUGUCUUAAAGUAUUUACCUUUUAUUGAUUUAGUUGUCAGAUCAAGCAAGCAAACAAAAACUGAAAGAACUCUCCAAUGGACAUGUAGAUAUGAUCUGUGAUGAAAGUAGACAGAAACUUUAAGCUUUAAUUUGUCGGGAAAAUGUGACAGAAGUGAUGCAAGGAUGCAUUGUGUCAACGGUAUGGUACGGUUUGUCUUCUUUUGUUUUGUUUAUUUUGUUUUUUUUUUGUUUUGUUUAUUUGAGACUUUUAAUUAGCAUAACAUCUGUCAAGUUGGUUAGGUAGGAAUUUGAUAACAGACUUUUUUUUUUUUUUUAAAAGAUAAAACUUUGAGACUUUUAACUGUAAUAGAAUGUUAGAUCAUGUACUUUUUAAAAGAUAUAUAU